AAAUCGACCCUAAUCCCGCCGACGAGGCGAUAGGCAAGUGCGCUUAUCUAUGAGAAAUGGGAAAGGCUUGCAAUUUAAUUUAUGGUCCAAUGGCAAAGGUUCAAUGAUCGAUUUGAGUGCAGAAUUUAUUGCAAUCCAGCUAAUCAACAAUGUGCUGUAUAAUUCCCCCUGAAAUUGUUGCUGUAAUACAUGGUGUUGAAAUUUUUC